ensembl:lncRNA
CAUGGCAGCAGGUGGCAUCUGUAACCAGAUACUACCAGUAUGUGAAAGGACAAAUCUACCCAAUCAAAUAGUAUGAAGAGGUAUAUUAACACUCCAGACCAGAAGAAAAGUGACAAGCCCCCAAAAGUCCAUCCUAAAGGCAUAGAAAUUUACAAUCUAAAUGACGGAAUUCAAACUAGCUAUCAUAAAAAAACUCAACAAGUUACCAGAAAACUCAGAAAGUUCAAUGAAAUCAGGAAUAAAAUUAACAGAGGGAAUUCUCCACAAAAGAGAUUGGAACUAUAAAAAACAAUCAGAAACAUUGGAGGUGAAAAACAAUAUGAGAUAAAGAAAAAUCUGGAGUCCUUGAAUAACAGAGCUGACAUCAUGGAGGACAGAAUUAGCAAUUUAGAGGACAGAAACAUAGAAAUGCUUCAGAUGGAGGAGAGAGAACUAAGACUAAAAAGAAAUGAAGAAAUUCUUUGAGAAAUAUAUGACUCAAUUAGGAAAUGCAAUAUAAGGAUUAUAGGCAUUCCAGAGGGAGAAAGGACCAGAGAGCACGUUCAAAGAAAUAAUAGCAGAGAACUUCCCAAAUCUGGGGAAGGAGCUGGAAUAAUAAUAAAAGAAGCUGGGGCUGGUCCCAUGGCCGAGUGGUUAAGUUCGUGUGCUCUGCUUUGACGGCCCAGGGUUUCGCCAGUUCGGAUCCUGGGUGUGGACAUGGCAUCACUCAUCAGGCCAUGCUGAGGCAGCAUCCCACAUGCCACAACUAGAAGGACCCACAACUGAAAAUACACAACUAUGUACCAGGGGGCUUUGGGGAGAAGAAGGAAAAAUAAAAUCUUUAAUAAUAAAAGAAGCUAACAGAAGUUCUAAUUACAUCAGUGUUAAAAGAUUUUCUCCGAGGCAUAUAAUUAGUAAAACUGGCAAAAGUCAAUGACAAAAACAAAAUAUUAAGGGCAGCAAGGCAGAAGAAAAUAACUUACAAAGGAACCCCUAUCAGCGUUUCAGUGGAUUUCUCAGCAGAAACCCUACAUGGUAGGAGAGAGUGGAAUGAUACAUUCAAAAUUCUGAAGGAUGAAAACUUUCAGCCAAGAAUACUCUGUUCAAUGAAAAUAACCUUCAGAUGUGGUGGAGAAAUAAGAACUUUCCAAGAUAAACAAAAGCUAAGGGAGUUCAUCACCAUAAGACCCUUCCCCCACAAGAAAUGAUCAAGAAGGCCCUCAUACCUGAAAAAAAAAAAGGAGUUUACAAAGCCUUGAGCAAGGAGAUAAAUAGGCAGACAAAAUCAGAAAAUUGCAGCUCUCUAUCAGAACAGGUUAGCAAACAAUUAUAGCAUUAAAGGUAAAAGGAAGGAAAACAUCAAUAAUCAUUUCAUUAUAACCACAAACUCACAACAAAAAAUGAAAUAAGUUGUGACACCAAUAACUUAGACAGGGAUGAGGAAAGGGAUGGAACCUGCUUAGACUAAGGAAAUAAGAGGCUAUCAGAAAAUGAACUAUCUCAUCUAGGAGAUCUUUUAUACAAACCUCAUGGUAACCACUAAAAAAAAAAUCAGAACAGAGACACAAGUGAUAAAUAAAGAGAAAACUGAGAAAACCGUCGUAAAUAAGCACCAAGCUGAAUUAGCAGUCAGAAAUACACAGGAUGAGAAAUGAGGGAAAUACAGAACAACUGGAAAACUAGUGAUAAAAUGGCAGCAUUAAGCCCUCAUAUAUCAAUAAUAACUCUAAAUGUAAAUGGCUUGAAUUCUCCAAUCCGAAGACACAGAGUGGCUGGAUGGAUUAAAAAAUAAGACCCAACAAUAUGCUGCCUCCAGGAAACACCUCUCAACUGUAAGACAAUCACAGGCUCAGAGUGAAGGAAUGGAAGAUGAUACUUCAAGCUAAUGGCAAACAAAAGAAAGCAGGUGUUGCCCUACUUGUAUCACACAAGAUAGACUUCAAGAUAAAAAGGGCAAUGAGAGACAAAGAGGGGCAAUAUAUAAUGAUAAAAGGGGCAUUCCACCAAGAGGACAUAACACUUAUAAAUAUAUAUGCAGGGGCCAGCCCUGUGGCUGAGUGGUUAAGUUCAUGCACUCUGCUUUGGUGGCCCAAGUUUUCACCAGUUGGGAUCCUAGCUGUGGACAUGGCACUGCUCAUCAGGCCAUGCUGAGGCAGCGUCCCACAUAGCACAGCCAGAGGCACUCACAACUAGGAUAUAAAAGUAUGUACUGGGGUGCUUUGGGAAGGGGGGAAAAAAAGAAGAUUGGCAACAGUUGUUAGCUCAGCUGCCAAUCUUUAAAAAAAAAAAAAAAUAUAUAUAUAUAUAUAUAUAUAUACACACACACACAUAUGCGCCUCACACAGGAGUACUAAAGUACAUAAAGCAGCUAUUAACAAACCUAAAAGCAGAUAUUAACAGCAAUUUAAUAACAGUAGGGGACCUUAAUACAUCACUUACAUCAGUGGACAGAUCAUCCAGACAAAAAGUCAACAAGGAAAUAGUAGAAUUAAAUGAAAAACUAGACCAGAUGGACUUAAUAGAUAUAUAUAGAACACUCCAUCCAAAAACAGCAAAAUACAUAUUCUCCUCAAGUGCGCAUGGAACAUUCUCAAAGAUCAUAUUUUGGGAAACAAGGCAAACCUCAAUAAAUUUAAGAAGAUUGAAAUCAUAUCAAGCAUCUUUUCUAACCACAAUGCUAUGAAACUAGAAUGAACUACAAGAGAGGCCAGCCCCGUGGCUGAGUGGUUAAGUUCAUGUGCUCUGUUUCGGCGGGCCAGGGUUUCACUGGUUUGGAUCCUGGGUGUGCACAUGGCCCUGCUCGUCAGGCCACGCUGAGGCAGCAUCCCACAUAGCACAACCAGAGGCACUCACAACAAGAAUCUACAACUAUGUACUGGGGGCUUUGGGAAGAAGAAUUAAAAAAAAAAAGAAUUGGCAAUAGUUGUUAGCUCAGGAGCCAAUCUUAAAAAAAAAAAAAAAAGAAAUGAACUACAAGAAAAAAGCUGAGAAAGUAACAAACAUGUAGAGACUAAACAACGUGCUUCUGAACAACCAAUAGUAAUUGAAAAAAUUAAAAGAGAAAUAAAAAAAUGUCUGGAGACAAAUGAAAAUGAAAAUACACCAUAGCAACUCAUAUGGGAUGCAGCAAAAGUGGUCCUAAGAGGGAAAUUCAUAGUGAUACAGGCCCACCUUAACAAACAAAAAAAAUCUCAAGUAAGUAAUCUUACUACACCUAACAAAACUAGAAAAAGAAGAACAAACAAAGCCCAAAGUCAGCAGAAGGAGGGAAAUAAUAAAAAUUAGAGCAGAAAUAAAUGAAAUAGAAACAAAAAGAAAACUAUGGAAAGGAUCAGCGAAACUAAGAGCUGUUUCUUUGAGAAGGUAAACAAAAUUGACAAAUCCUUAGCCAGACUCACUAAGAAAAACAAUAGAAGACUCAAAUAAAUAAAAUUAGAAAUGAAAGAGAAGAAAUUACAACAGAUACCACAGAAAUACAAAGGAUUGUAAGAGAAUACUAUGAAAAACUAUAUGCCAAUAAAUUGGACAAUCUAGAAGAAAUGGGUAAGUUCUUAGGUUCAUACAACCUCCCAAAACUGAAUCAAAAAGAAAUAGAGAGUCUGAGUAGAAAAUUCACAAAUAAAGAGAUUGAAACAGUAAUCAAAAUCCUC